GAUCUCUUAGCAUUGGAGAACAUGGGCACCAAAAAGUCUGUACCUCAUUGCUCUUUGGUCUAGGUCCAGACUUUUUGGUGCCCAUGUUCUCCAAUGCUGAGAGAUG